GGAGAGGUGGCCGAGUGGUCGAAGGCGCUCCCCUGCUAAGGGAGUAGGGACUAAUCCUCCCUCGUGGGUUCGAAUCCCAUCCUCUCCGCCA
rnacentral:tRNA from 3 species